rnacentral:rRNA from 1 species
AACGAACGCUGGCGGCAUGCCUAACACAUGCAAGUCGAACGAGACCUUCGGGUCUAGUGGCGCACGGGUGCGUAACGCGUGGGAAUCUACCCUUGGGUUCGGAAUAACUCAGAGAAAUUUGAGCUAAUACCGGAUGAUGUCGCAAGACCAAAGAUUUAUCGCCCAAGGAUGAGCCCGCGUAGGAUUAGCUUGUUGGUGAGGUAAAAGCUCACCAAGGCGACGAUCCUUAGCUGGUCUGAGAGGAUGAUCAGCCACACUGGGACUGAGACACGGCCCAGACUCCUACGGGAGGCAGCAGUGGGGAAUAUUGGACAAUGGGCGAAAGCCUGAUCCAGCAAUGCCGCGUGAGUGAUGAAGGCCUUAGGUUGUAAAGACUCUUUACCCGGAUGAUAAUGACAGUACCGGGAGAAUAAGACCCGGCUAACUCCGUGCCAGCAGCCGCGGU